CCAAAAUUCAUCAUAGCCGCAGGCGCAUAAUUGCUCGGUUUUGUGUUGCUAUGCUACAAUUAAGCCAAAGUUGUACCGAAGGCAUGGGUAUUCAUAAAUUAUAUUGUUUAGUGGAAUUCAGCCAAUGUAUUUCUUUCGAGUGCAGGAAUGCCAUGCUGUGAUAUUAAGAGCUGGCUCAAUGUCACCCAUAAGUAUGCCCUUGUGCACACUGCUUAGGCUAUAACUCCAACAAAAUUUCAAUCCCUGUCUAAUAAGGCAUCUUAAAGCAAAUAGCUCAUAUUUCUUUUGGACUAUUGUUCUCUGUGUGCAGAGUAGAAAACACACACAUGAGAUUUAAAUAGGGGUAAACCUUUAGUUUCAAGUUGAUGAACGUACUGUAUUUUAGGAUCACG